rnacentral:rRNA from 1 species
GACGAACGCUGGCGGCGUGGAUUAGGCACGCAAGUCGGACGGUAGAGCUUUAUCGUAAGAUAGAGUUUGAGAGUGGCGAACGGGUGAGUAACACGUAGGAAUCUACCCUUAAGACGGGGACAACCCAGGGAAACUCGGGCUAAUACCGGAUGAGAGUGCGAGAGAUUGCAUUUAAAAGGAUGGCGAAAGUUGUCGCUUAGGGAUGAGCCUGCGGUCUAUUAGUUAGUUGGUGAGGUAAGAGCUCACCAAGGCGAUGAUAGAUAGGCGGCCUUAACGGGUGGUCGCCCACACUGGGAUUGAGAUACGGCCCAGACUCCUACGGGAGGCAGCAGUCGAGAAUAGUCUACAAUGGCCGGAAGGCUGAUAGUGCGACGCCGCGUGAACGAGGGGAGCCCUUCGGGGGUGUAAAGUUCUUUUCUAUACGACAGUGCUAUAUAUAUGGAAUAGUAUAUAUAGAGGAUAGUAGUAUAGGAAUAAGACAACGGCUAACUCCGUCGCCAGCAGACCCGG